GCAUAUCAAUAAGCGGAGGAAAAGAAACUAACAAGGAUUCCCCUAGUAACGGCGAGUGAAGAGGGAAGAGCUCAAAUUUUAAAUCUGCCUUGUUUCAAGGUCGAGUUGUAAUUUGAAGAAGCGUUUUCUUGGGCUCGCGGCCGGUAGAAGUUCUUUGGAACAGGACAUCAUAGAGGGUGACAAUCCCGUCUGCGACCGGUCGUGCGUUCAUCUACGAUACGCUUUCAAAGAGUCGAGUUGUUUGGGAUUGCAGCUCCAAAUGGGUGGUAAACAUCACCUAAGGCUAAAUAUUGGCGAGAGACCGAUAGCGAACAAGUACCGUGAGGGAAAGAUGAAAAGAACUUUGAAAAGAGAGUUAAAAAGUAUGUGAAAUUGUUGAAAGGGAAACGAUUGAAGUCAGUCGUGCAGUCAUCAAUUCAGCGGUUAACAUUUUAUGUUUCCGUGUAAUUUGGUGUCUGUUGGUUAGCAUCAAUUUUGAUUGUUAUAAAAAGGUUAAGGGGAUGUGGCUCCUUCGGGAGUGUUAUAACCCUUAGCGUAAUGUGACGAUUAGGAUUGAGGUUUGCAACGAAUACCUUUUAGGGCAGUUUCACCUGGCCUCUCGUGGAAUUAUAGAUAGUUAAGAGCAUGCUCUUACUGUCUAUGAUUCUACGAAAAGGUUGGAGUGUAAAACUAAUUCGUUAAGGAUGUUGACGUA
rnacentral:rRNA from 1 species